GUCGAACAAAUUCUCUCUCGAUUACAUUUCAGCAACAACGAGAUUCAUUGUUGCCAAUUCCGGUGACCUUCAGUUUUUGGCGCUUCACU
ensembl:snoRNA B0379.13 ncRNA